UACGGGAGGCAGCAGUGGGGAAUAUUGGACAAUGGGGGAAACCCUGAUCCAGCGACGCCGCGUGAGUGAAGAAGUAUUUCGGUAUGUAAAGCUCUAUCAGCAGGGAAGAUGAUGACGGUACCUGACUAAGAAGCACCGGCUAAAUACGUGCCAGCAGCCGCGGUAAU
rnacentral:rRNA from 1 species